rnacentral:rRNA from 1 species
UACGGAGGGUGCAAGCGUUAAUCGGAAUUACUGGGCGUAAAGAGUUCGUAGGCGGUUAUCUAAGUCUGGUGUUAAAUACUGGAGCUCAACUCCGGCAUGGCAUUGGAAACUGGAUAGCUAGAGUGCGGUAGAGGUCACGGGAAUUCCAGGUGUAGCGGUGAAAUGCGUAGAUAUCUGAAGGAACACCAGUGGCGAAGGCGACUCUCUGGACUCAAACUGACGCUGAGGUACGAAAGCGUGGGUAGCAAACAGGAUUAGAUACCCCGGUAGU